rnacentral:rRNA from 1 species
UACGUAGGCAGCAAGCGUUGUUCGGAAUUACUGGGCGUAAAGCGUGUGUAGGCGGUGCUCUAAGUCUGUUGUGAAAUCUCCCGGCUUAACUGGGAGGGUGCGGCGGAGACUGGAGUGCUAGAGUGUGGGAGAGGUAAGCGGAAUUCCUGGUGUAGCGGUGAAAUGCGUAGAUAUCAGGAGGAACACCUGUGGUGUAGACAGCUUACUGGACCACGACUGACGCUGAGACACGAAAGCGUGGGUAGCAAACAGG